rnacentral:lncRNA from 1 species
CACUGUCAUUACAUUGAUUUAAAAUUAAAGCUAUUUUGGAGUAGUGACAAUAAAAAGGAUAAUGAUUUUAUUGAUUCAAAUCAAAAAAAAAAAAUUUGAGCUUUGUUAAUUGUGCCUAAGUUCGAUUCGGGUAGAUUUAUGGGUAACUUAGCAAAUGAAAAAGAAACACUUAUAAACCCUUAUAUUUUUGUUGUAUGUAAACCAAGGACGAGAUCAAGCGGAUACAUAGGGCCUUCCUCCCCACCUCAAAAUGAUAAAUAAAAAUUCUAAAAGUAUAAAUUAAUGUAAUGAUAAAUUUAUAUUUUAAUUUCAAAACGAUAAUAUAAUGAUAAAAUAAUCAAUUAAUACAAUGACAAAAUUAUUUUUUAACAAUUUAAAAGUUUAUAAUUUAAUUUUGACCUCUUAAAAUUGUUGGACAAAACACGUUAGUUAAUAAAAUAAAUUAAUUAUAAAUAAACAAAUAUGAAAUAAAAUAUAAAUAGAAUGAUUUAUAAUUAAUUUAUCAAUAUGAAAAUCAAAUAAAAACCAUGAUAAAUAGUUGAAGUAGAAGGAGAAUCGAGAUUUUACGAAACGUUUAGGCUCGUGAAAUACAGUUUCCUUAAGAUAGAUUCGGCCACUCCUACAGUACUUGGAGUAACGUUGGUCGAAAGUCUCCUAGGAUACAACAACAAUAGUGAUUGAAGUAGUAGCACCUCUACCACGAUCAAUCGAACGAACAAUGACUUUUUUUAUCAUCGGAAUAUUUAGAAAACAUGAAAGAUGGAAAAAAAAGAUUUUUGAGAACAAUAGAAUUUCGGCAAGAGAAAUUCUUAGAGAGUAUGAGUGUGUGUGUGU